rnacentral:rRNA from 1 species
GACGGGGCCCGCACAAGCGGUGGAGCAUGUGGUUUAAUUCGAUGCAACGCGAAGAACCUUACCUGGGCUUGACAUCCCGAGAAUCCCCUGGAAACAGGGGAGUGCCUUUCGGGGAACUCGGAGACAGGUGCUGCAUGGCUGUCGUCAGCUCGUGUCGUGAGAUGUUGGGUUAAGUCCCGCAACGAGCGCAACCCUUGUCUUUAAUUGCCAGCAUUCAGUUGGGCACUUUAAAGAGACUGCCGGUGUUAAGCCGGAGGAAGGUGGGGAUGACGUCAAGUCCUCAUGGCCUUUAUGCCCAGGGCUACACACGUGCUACAAUGGGUGGUACAAAGAGAUGCCAACUCGCGAGAGCGCGCCAAUCUCAGAAAGCCAUCCUCAGUUCGGAUUGGAGUCUGCAACUCGACUCCAUGAAGUUGGAAUCGCUAGUAAUCGCGGAUCAGCACGCCGCGGUGAAUACGUUCCCGGGCCUU